rnacentral:rRNA from 1 species
GAUGAACGCUGGCGGCGUGCCUAAUACAUGCAAGUCGAGCGAACAGAUAAGGAGCUUGCUCCUUUGACGUUAGCGGCGGACGGGUGAGUAACACGUGGGUAACCUACCUAUAAGACUGGGAUAACUUCGGGAAACCGGAGCUAAUACCGGAUAAUAUUUCGAACCGCAUGGUUCGAUAGUGAAAGAUGGUUUUGCUAUCACUUAUAGAUGGACCCGCGCCGUAUUAGCUAGUUGGUAAGGUAACGGCUUACCAAGGCGACGAUACGUAGCCGACCUGAGAGGGUGAUCGGCCACACUGGAACUGAGACACGGUCCAGACUCCUACGGGAGGCAGCAGUAGGGAAUCUUCCGCAAUGGGCGGAAGCCUGACGGAGCCACGCCGCGUGAGUGAUGAAGGUCUUCGGAUCGUAAAACUCUGUUAUUAGGGAAGAACAUACGUGUAAGUAACUGUGCACGUCUUGACGGUACCUAAUCAGAAAGCCACGGCUAACUACGUG